UACGGAGGGUGCAAGCGUUGUUCGGCAUUACUGGGCGUAAAGCGGGUGUGGGCGGCCUCGCAAGUCAGGUGUGAAAUCCCUGCGCCCAACCCAGGAACUGCACUUGAUACUGCUUGGCUCGAGUCCCGGAGAGGAUGGCGGAAUUCCAGGUGUAGAGGAGAAAUUCGUAGAUAUCUGGGGGAACACCAGCGGCGAAGGCGGCCAUCUGGACGGUGACUGACGAUCAGACCCGAAAGCGUGGGGAGCAAACAGG
rnacentral:rRNA from 1 species